UAUAAGGGUAGCGGUGGUUUUCCAUAUUUAAUGUUUGAUUAUUCGUUUUAUUUUAAAAAAUAUAAUUAAUAUUUUUAUUGUUAUUAGAUGAUAAAACAUGAAUAUACUUUUAUGUGUAACUGAUUUUUUAAAAAAAGUUCAUAAUUUUUCAAAUAAGACGGACGGUCAAACGUUAGAUAUGGAAACCUACAAACACUUAUA
rfam:Oryza sativa (indica cultivar-group) chromosome 1, whole genome shotgun sequence.